GCCCGCGUUGUCUAAUGGUUAUGACGUCAGACUUCUACCAAGCCGUGCUGAUCUGGAGGUUGCGGGUUCGAGUCCCGCCGUGGGUU